GCCGGGUGUGGUGGCUCACGCCUGUAAUCCCAGCAUUUUGGGAGGCCGAGGCAGGUGGAUCACCUGAGGUCAGGGGUUCGAGACCAGCCUGGCCAACAUGGUGAAACCCCGUCUCUA
rnacentral:SRP_RNA from 1 species